UUUCCCCUCAUUUUGAUUCAUUGAAUACAAUUCAGUAAAAAGUGGAGAGUGAGCUAAACUCUGACAACACAGCUCUUCACUGCAAAUCAGUUUGCUUUUCUCCAACUGUUUGAAAAAGUCAGAUAACAUUCAUGUUCAGAUUACUCCCCCCUUACCUUUUUUUUCAGUCUUUCAUUGCAGUGAGCCUUGAAUUUCAGUUUUUCAGCACGUAAAACAAGACCGCCUUCUUUGGAUGACCUCUAAAGAAGAAAAAUAAACAUGUGGGCUUUCAGCAUCUGGCCUCUACAGGAAACUCUAAGAGUGAGGGACAACUUUAUAGGGAAAGAAGAUUAAGAAAGGAAAUUUGAGUCCAGCUUCAAUGCUAUGCCAGCACCACCUUGGUAAGGGGCACAACUUCCCAUCUUGAUUGAGACUGGAAACCGAUAGUCUGGAUCCAAAACAGGUCAUCUCCGACCUUGGAUGAUCCCCAGACACUCUCAGCUGGUCUAGAAAAUUGAAGCUGGGAAAGAGAAGAGGAGGCGCAGAGGGGAUCAGUACAAGGUGUUACCCUUCUCAACCAGACCCCUGAGCCAGAGAUGAAGUGAUGUUGUGGCAUCUUUCCUGGUUUCAAACCCUUAUCAAAGACCCAAUUGUUGAACUUUUUCUAGACAUUUCUAGAAGUCUUAUUUUAGCAUUGAGAAAACAAACAACUCUAACUUACCAAUUUCUGUUUGCAAGGAAUCCCCUUCCUGUCACACUUGCAUCCCCUUGCGGUGAUUUGUGCCUAAGAGCCUAGGAUUUUUCUUUCCACAGUCUCUUCCACAUUCAAAAACACAAGGAUUUAUAAAAAUAACAAAGAUAUUUGUUUUCUGAAAAUGGGAUGGUACUGUAUACAUGCCUCCAAAAUUUGUUUUUCUCACUGAAUAAUACAGCUUAAAUAAUCUUGGAACACAGCAUGCACAGACCUUUCUCCGGAGCAAAAGCCUCCACUUUACAGCUGCUGAGAAUCUCUGCUGCUGACAGCUCACACCUGCAAUCCUCCUCUUUCCCGGCACCACCCUGGCAGCAGAGAGCUGCCUCAAUGUAAAACCUUGACUUCCGGCAGCAAUGAUUGACCAAAACAUUUGUCUCCAUUGAGGAGGCCUCUGAAGUGCUGGCUCAGCUGCAGAGCACCUCAGUAGAAUUAGACAAAGCCUCAGUGGAAACCCAUGUGUGUCAGGUGGUCUUUCUUGCCUUUCCCUGGCUCCAAAAUGGGGUUAUCUCCUGAGAUCUCUAACCCAAAACCUUCAUGCAACACCCCAUCUCAGAGUCAGUUUCAACCUAACCUAAGACAAUGGCCUGUGGAGGGGUAUGAGGCAGAUAUUUAGGACAAAGGUAAAUAAAUAAGAAAGUCGAGAGAGAUUAUGUAGACCAGCGAUUUUAGUGCAUUGUGAACUUGGGCAAUGUUUCUCAAAUUGUGAUGUUUAGCAGCAUCAACAUCACAUGGAAAUUGUUAGCAAUGCAAAUUCUCAGGGCCCAACCCACAUCCACUGAAUCGAAAACAAAAUAAUAGUAAGUCUAUACCAACAAUGUUUAGAGAAGAUAUGUCAUGACCAAGUUGAGCUUAUUAUGGAUGUGGGAAGUACCUUUAAAUUAGGAAUCAAUUCAUGUGAUUCACAGCAUUAGCAGAUUAAAGAAAGAAAUGUGAUCAUCUGAAUAGAUGCACAAUGAAAGUCAAUGUGUAUUCAUGAUUUUAAAAAUUAUUAGCAAAAAAAAAUUAUUAGGUUGGAAUUUUCUUAAAAC